CACAACCUCAGGCAUUGGUGGGAACUUCUGUUUUGAGCAGAUUGUGGCAGUCAUCUCUAUGUCAAGUUUUCAAACAGUACCUGGCAAGAUUAUGUGGGUGUGACUUUUGACCUUGGAGAAAGCAGGCACCUUGUGGCUAAACUUAUUUAAGAGGGUGUUCAGUGAACAUUAGAGAUCUACUUUAACAAGAGUGAGGCACUCGGUAAUGUUCUGAAACUUCA